rnacentral:rRNA from 1 species
UACGUAGGGCGCAAGCGUUGUCCGGAAUUAUUGGGCGUAAAGAGCUCGUAGGCGGCUUGUCACGUCGGGUGUGAAAGACCGGGGCUUAACCCCGGUUCUGCAUUCGAUACGGGCUAGCUAGAGUGUGGUAGGGGAGAUCGGAAUUCCUGGUGUAGCGGUGAAAUGCGCAGAUAUCAGGAGGAACACCGGUGGCGAAGGCGGAUCUCUGGGCCAUUACUGACGCUGAGGAGCGAAAGCUAGGGGAGCAAACGGG